UAUUUUUACACACAAAACUUUUGUGUAAGUCUUACAAUUUUUCAAUUUUUAGCCUUAAUCACUACAACAAAAACGGUCUAUAGCGACACAUUUAAAUAUAGAUACAUGUCAAAAUAGUGCUGCUAGCUAAAAUUACCGACAUUUUUAAAAAGUGUUACUAUAUAUCGGGUCGCUAGGUAUAUAGUGACAGUUAAAGAAUGUCGCUAUAACAUAAAAGAGUGUUGCUAAUUUACCAACACUUAUUUAAGCAUUUAGCAACCGCCGAAACUCUAUCUUGUUGGCUACGGUGGCGGAGAAGGACGACAGUAAAGGCUCUUCGUCUAGAAUUUCAGUGGAUUGAGUGAACAGAGAAGAAAAGAUGGUAAUUGAUUUUUCUUUUUUUUUUCUUUUGUAAUCGGGCCAAAUGGACUGGGUGUGGUGGGUUGAGUAGAGUAAUCUUUUAUUUUUGGUUGGAUUGAGCUUUAUAUUUAGACAUUAGUAGAUGUGUUUUUAAGUUUUAUCAUAAAUGGGACACUUACUCAAAAGUGUUCCAAAUAUGUGUCCCUAUAAUCUAAUUCUGUUGUAGUGAAUUAGGAAAAAUAGAUGUGUGAUAAGGUAAGCCAAUAAAAAAUG
rnacentral:lncRNA from 1 species